rnacentral:rRNA from 1 species
CCAUGCUGUUUGCACGGGUUUAGACCCGUUAGCAGAAAGCUCAGUAACACGUGGCCAAACUGCCCUAUGGACACCAAUAACCUCGGGAAACUGAGGCUAAUGGGUGAUACAGCUCUCAGCCUGGAGUGGCGAGAGCUGGAAACGCCCCGGCGCCAUAGGAUGUGGCUGCGGCCGAUUAGGUAGACGGUGGGGUAACGGCCCACCGUGCCGAUAAUCGGUACGGGUUGUGAGAGCAAGAGCCCGGAGACGGUAUCUGAGACAAGAUACCGGGCCCUACGGGGCGCAGCAGGCGCGAAACCUUUACACUGCACGACAGUGCGAUAGGGGGACUCCGAGUGCGAGGGCAUAUAGUCCUCGCUUUUCUGUACCGUAAGGUGGUACAGGAACAAGUGCUGGGCAAGACCGGUGCCAGCCGCCGCGGUAAUACCGGCAGCACGAGUGAUGGCCGCUAUUAUUGGGCCUAAAGCGUCCGUAGCUGGCCAGACAAGUCCGUUGGGAAAUCGGCGUGCCUAACACGUCGGCGUCCGGCGGAAACUGUCUGGCUUGGAGCCGGAAGACCCGAGGGGUACGUCCGGGGUAGGAGUGAAAUCCCGUAAUCCUGGACGGACCACCGAUGGCGAAAGCACCUCGGGAAGACGGACUCGACAGUGAGGGACGAAAGCUGGGGUCUCGAACCGGAUUAGAUACCCGGGUAGUCCCAGCCGUAAACGAUGCUCGCUAGGUGUGCCGUAGGCUACGAGCCUGCGCUGCGCCGUANGGAAGCCGUGAAGCGAGCCGCCUGGGAAGUACGUCUGCAAGGAUGAAACUUAAAGGAAUUGGCGGGGGAGCACUACAACCGGAGGAGCCUGCGGUUCAAUUGGACUCAACGCCGGACAUCUUACCAGCACCGACAAUGUGCAGUGAAGGUCAGUCUGAUGCGCUUACUGGAGCCAUUGAGAGGAGGUGCAUGGCCCCCGUCAGCUCGUACCGUGAGGCAUCCUGUUAAGUCAGGCAACGAGCG